rnacentral:rRNA from 1 species
GACGAACGCUGGCGGCGUGCCUAAUACAUGCAAGUCGAACGCAGUGGGGACGGGUGAGUAACACGUGGGUAACCUCCCAUCAGAGGGGAUAACCCUUGGCAAAUGGCGCUAAACCGACAUUGAUGGAUGGACCCGCGGGGCAUUAGCUAGUGGGUGGGGUAACGGCUCACCAAGGCCACGAUGCAUAGCCGGCCUGAGAGGAUGAUCGGCCACACGGGGACUGAGACACGGCCCAGACUCCUACGGGAGGCAGCAGUAGGGAAUAUUCGGCAAUGGACGAAAGUCUGACCGAGCAACGCCGCGUGAGUGAAGAAGGUUUUCGGAUCGUAAAGCUCUGUUGUUAGAGAGGCGUUAUCUAACCAGAAAGCCACGGCUAACUACGUGCCAGCAGCCGCGGUAAUUC